UACGUAGGUGGCAAGCGUUGUCCGGAUUUACUGGGCGUAAAGGGCGUGCAGGCGGUUUGUUAAGUGCAGGGUGAAAGCUCCCGGCUCAACUGGGAGAGGUCCUUGCAUACUGGCGAACUCGAGGGAGGCAGAGGAAAGUGGAAUUCCCGGUGUAGCGGUGAUAUGCGUAGAUAUCGGGAGGAACACCUGUGGCGAAGGCGGCUUUCUGGGCCUUACCUGACGCUGAGACGCGAAAGCGUGGGGAGCGAACCGG
rnacentral:rRNA from 1 species